rnacentral:sRNA from 1 species
UUCAACAAGUGGUGCUCUAAAGCUCUAAAGUUGGAUAGCUACAUGCAGAAGACUAAAACUAGAUCCUCUCCUCUCACCCUGCACAAAAUCACUCCAAAGAUUGUCAUCAAAGAUUUUCAGGUAAGAGCUGAUACCCUGAUGGAAGAGGAAAGAAGGGAAUACAUUUGCACUGUUGGCAUGGGAAAGGACUUUCUGUGCAGAAUGUUAAUACUACAAGCAUUAAGGCCAGAGAUCAGUAAUGGAACUGUGUGAAACUAAACAUGUUCUAAUGUGUCAAAGAAAACCAUCAUCCUAGUGAAGAGGCAGCCCACAGAGUGUGAAAAAUCUUUACCAGUUAUAUAUCUGACAAAGGAUUCAUUUUUUAAAAUAUACACAGAAAUGAAAAAAAACUAAACAUAAAGAAAAAACACACCCCGAUUUUAAAAUAGGACAUGGAUCUAAGCAAAGAGUUCUCAAAAGAUGAAAUACAAAUGCCUCAGAAAUAAUUUUUAAAACAUUCAACAUCCUGGCCAUCAAUGAAAUGUCAACUAAAACUCCUUUGAUAUUUCAUCUUACCCAGUCAGGAUGGUCAAAAUUUGUAUUGGUUGUUUCUUUAGCUCUUCAGAAGCUUUUUAGUUUUAGAGGGCCCACCUGUCAGUUGCUGUCCUCAAUUCCUGGCAAAUUGAACCAUAUUCAGAAAUUCCUUUCAACAUCUUUGUAUUCUAGAGUACUCCACAUGCUUUCUUGAAGCAGACUCAGUGUUUCCGGUUUAACCUUUAGGACUUUGAUUCCAUUUGGAUUUAGUUUGGGGGAGAGGAGGGAGCGCGCUGCGAUCGGCAGGCCCCUAAGUUUAUUUUUCUACAUGUAGACAUCCACUUUUCCCAGCACCAGUUGUUGAAGAUAGUGACUUGUCUUUUCUCCAGUGUCAAAUAUUAGAUGGCUGUAAUUACAUGUACUCCUGUUUCUAGCUCCCAUUUUGUUCUAAUGAUCUAUAUGCAUUUUUUGUGCCAUUACGACAUUUUUUUCCAUAUUGUUUUUAACUACUAUGGCUCUGUAAAAUGUCUAGAGGUCUGGAAGAGAAAUUCCUCUAACUUUUUUUUUUUUUUUUUUUUUUUGCUCAGUACUGUUUUGGUUAUCUGGGGUCUUUUGUGGUUUUAUAUGCUAUUCCUAUUUCUUACCAUGUGUCCUUGAUGUAGACCUUUGCCUGGGGACACAAGAGAUUAGAAGGAGGUGUUCUCUGAACUCAGACCUAUAGCCCAGCUUCCUCAGCCUCAUUUCUCUGACACUAGGCUUUAACCCUUUCUCUGACCUCCAGGCCUAGCUAAAACGCAUGCCUUUUCCGUCUACACCUGCUCACCCUGUGCCUUGUGGUUGCUGAGAUAUUUUUAGCUUUACUGUCCUGUUGUUUUUCUCCCAAUGUUUAAUAAUGUUGUCCUCAAGAUUGCUUCUAAGUCUGCUUUUAAAUUUUAUUAAUGAGACUAAAAACUCAAAGGGAACUCUAGUUUCCAUCCAUAAGAAGGCCAUGCCCUUCUACAAUGUGGUACUGAGAAAACACUGUGCCAAGCUGAUGCUUGGGACCAUCUAGUAUUGGUUCCAUACAUAACAGGAGUCUAUUAAUGUAGCCUGGGAUUUCCCAUUACCCCUCUCCCCCCCAAAAAAUCUUACAAAAGCCAGAACUCCAUUUUGCUUGUGGUUUUGUUGGAAUACUCCCUCAGUUUCCCAUCAUCCAGUUUUUGAAUGUUAUCUUUUCUUAUCUUUAGUUUUAAGCUAUCUCUUCUCAGCUAUCUCCCUUCUCAAGGCUUGAUCUUGGCUACAACUUUCCUAAAGAAGAUUUUUUUAAGGUUAUUUGGUCUCAACUUCUCCGUGAACCAGCACAUUUAUUAUUGCAGUCUCCAUUAGGGAAUUUUCACAAGCUUUGUCCAGAAAACUCAAAGAGAAAGGCUUGCCUUCAGCCAAACUGCUAACUACAGAGUGCAGUAAUCUAAGUUUCACCCAGAAGCUGGCACUGGUCACUCAGGACAGCCCCUAUUUGUAUGGUGAAGAUUUCAUUACUAUCGACUACACAGCAACUCAUGCUAACCUGGUAAGACCAAACACAAACCAAUCUUGACUGCCUUUAACCACAUGGCAGGAAUUACUUUCCAAGAAACUACAAAGCACCAGCUCACCCUAACAGAAUAGGAAUUUCUCUAAAACGGAGACAUUACAACCCAGUGCCUUAGGCUACAGAUGGUGUGCUCCUUACUGUCCUGUCUACUGCCUCUUACCACAGACUAAGUAAACCUGUUUCCUUCCUAUUGGGAUCAUUCACUGACUGCUAGUCCCUUCCCUGCCACUGGGGUCAUCAUCCAUCCUAACAUCUGUAUUCCAUUUACAGUCAUAGCUUUUAUGCUCCUUUCUUGAAAAUAUCCGUAAAAUAUUAAAGACAGCAGAGUCCUAAGAGUCUUCGCUUGACGCCUUGUCUUACCCUUAGAAUCUAGAACAAGUCUGACUCAGGAUAUUGAGAAUCUGAAGAGCUUCUAGAUUCCGAAGCCUCUGUGACUAAGUACUUUCUUACACAAUUCAAUCUUGUUUAAAAAUAUUCAUCAUAGCCUCAGAUUUCUAUUAGAUAAUUCCUCUAUGAAAAAGAAUAAAAUCCACACCUGUAUUAAAGAGUCUUUGAGGCUGAUUGACAGGUUGUUCAUACAGUUAUCCUCACUGAAGUGUCGUAGGAGUCAGAAGGGAAGGAGAGGCAAGAACCUAGAAAGAAAAGGUUGCUGUCGUCAUUGCUAACCCAGAAUGGAAGCCAUCUUUUCCCAGAGGCCUGGCCAGAGCUAGUAGUCACCACCCACGUUGCCAUUGCAUUCAGACCCUCAUGGCCAGAUCCCAAGGUGAUCCAAACUCUCUCCCUUCAAAUGCCUACACAUUACUGAUGGUUUACAUCUACAGUAUACCUUAAUAAAUGUCUUUUUAAAUGGUA